rnacentral:sRNA from 1 species
AAAAUAAAGACCUCCUAACUUUAUUUAAUAAAAUCCUAAACUUUUUUCAUCACAAUCUCCUAAUGAAGCCACCCACAGGGGUGGCUUUUGC